rnacentral:rRNA from 1 species
AUUGAACGCUGGCGGCAGGCUUAACACAUGCAAGUCGAGCGAGCGGCGGACGGGAGAGUCAUGUCUGGGAAACUGCCUGAUGGAGGGGGAUAACUACUGGAAACGGUAGCUAAUACCGCAUACCAUCAGAUGUGCCCAGAUGGGAUUAGCUAGUAGGUGGGGUAAUGGCUAACCUAGGCUACGAUCCCUAGCUGGUCUGAGAGGAGGACCGGCCACCCGGGACCUGAGACACGGCCAAGACUCCUACGGGAGGCAGCAGUGGGGAAUAUUGCACAAUGGGCGAAAGCCUGAUGAAGACCUGCCGCGGGUGUGAAGAAGGCCUUCGGGUUGUAAAGCACGUUCAGCGAGGAGGCGGUACCCGCAGAGGAAGCACCGGCUAACUCCGUGCCAGCAGCCGCGGUAAUUC